rnacentral:rRNA from 1 species
CCUACGGGUGGCAGCAGUGAGGAAUAUUGGUCAAUGGGCGGGAGCCUGAACCAGCCAAGUCGCGUGAGGGAAGAAGGUACUGAGUAUUGUAAACCUCUUUUGCCAGGGGACAAAGGCGGCCACGGGUGGCCGUAAGAGGGUACCUGGAGAAAAAGCAUCGGCUAACUCCGUGCCAGCAGCCGCGGUAAUACGGAGGAUGCGAGCGUUAUCCGGAUUUAUUGGGUUUAAAGGGUGCGUAGGCGGUCAGGUAAGUUAGAGGUGAAAGCUCGAUGCUCAACAUCGAAACUGCCUCUGAUACUGGCUGACUAGAGUGUAGUUGCGGAAGGCGGAAUGUGUGGUGUAGCGGUGAAAUGCUUAGAUAUCACACAGAACACCGAUUGCGAAGGCAGCUUUCCAAGCUAUUACUGACGCUGAGGCACGAAAGCGUGGGGAGCGAACAGGAUUAGAUACCCGAGUAGUC